GAUGAACGCUGGCGGCGUGCCUAAUACAUGCCAGUCGAGCGAACGGACGAGAAGCUUGCUUCUCUGAUGUUAGCGGCGGACGGGUGAGUAACACGUGGAUAACCUACCUAUAAGACUGGGAUAACUUCGGGAAACCGUAGCUAAUACCGGACAAUAUUUUGAACCGCAUGGUUCAAAAGUGAAAGACGGUCUUGCUGUCACUUAUAGAUGGAUCCGCGCUGCAUUAGCUAGUUGGUAAGGUAACGGCUUACCAAGGCAACGAUGCAUAGCCGACCUGAGAGGGUGAUCGGCCACACUGGAACUGAGACACGGUCCAGACUCCUACGGGAGGCAGCAGUAGGGAAUCUUCCGCAAUGGGCGAAAGCCUGACGGAGCAACGCCGCGUGAGUGAUGAAGGUCUUCGGAUCGUAAAACUCUGUUAUUAGGGAAGAACAUAUGUGUAAGUAACUGUGCACAUCUUGACGGUACCUAAUCAGAAAGCCACGGCUAACUACGUG
rnacentral:rRNA from 1 species